AACGCGAAGAACCUUACCAGCUCUUGACAUGUCUCGUAUGGGGGCCGGAGACGGUUUCCUUCAGUUCGGCUGGCGAGAACACAGGUGCUGCAUGGCUGUCGUCAGCUCGUGUCGUGAGAUGUUGGGUUAAGUCCCGCAACGAGCGCAACCCUCGCCCUUAGUUGCCAUCAUUCAGUUGGGCACUCUAGGGGGACUGCCGGUGAUAAGCCGAGAGGAAGGUGGGGAUGACGUCAAGUCCUCAUGGCCCUUAUGGGCUGGGCUACACACGUGCUACAAUGGCGGUGACAAUGGGAUGCUGAGGGGCGACCCCGAGCAAAUCUCAAAAAGCCGUCUCAGUUCGGAUUGCACUCUGCAACUCGAGUGCAUGAAGGUGGAAUCGCUAGUAAUCGUAGAUCAGAACGCUACGGUGAAUACGUUCCCGGGCCUUGUA
rnacentral:rRNA from 1 species